rnacentral:rRNA from 1 species
CCUACGGGUGGCUGCAGUGAGGAAUAUUGGUCAAUGGGCGCGAGCCUGAACAAGCCAAGUAGCGUGAGGGAUGACUGCCCUACGGGUUGUAAACUUCUUUUGUAAAGGAAUAAUGUGAGGCUCGUGGGCCUUUUUGUAUAUAUUUUAUGAAUAAGGAUCGGCUAACCCCGUGCCAGCAGCCGCGGUAAUACGGAGGGUCCGAGCGUUAUCCGGAUUUAGUGGGUUUAAAGGGAGCGUAGAUGGGUUGUUAAGUCAGUUGUGAAAGGUUGCGGCUCAACCGUAAAAUUGCAAUUGAUACUGGCAGCCUUGAGUACAGUUGAGGUAGGCGGAAUUCGUGGUGUAGCGGUGAAAUGCUUAGAUAUCACGAAGAACUCCGAUUGCGAAGGCAGCCUACUAAACUGCAACUGACAUUGAUGCUCGAAAGUGUGGGUAUCAAACAGGAUUAGAUACCCUAGUAGUC